GACAGCCCAUGAGGCCAAUCUACAUCAUUUUAUUUUAAAUGCAAUACAAAAAAACUCAUCCGUUUGAGUAUUAUUUUUGUUUUCACACACCAAAGGCAGUGUUAUAUAGUUGUGACAGAGUAUAAGCCAGCAUAGUAUCAAAUAUUUAUUAUCCAGUCCUUUAUAGAAAAAGGUUUACUGAACUCUGACUUUUGUCAUCAUUCCACAUCCUACAGAGCCAGUGCCCUGAAAGAAUGAUAUUCAUGAAUAAGGUCAGCAGGUGCCCUUUUCAGUUCCUGACUGACAGCUGAAUUGAGCUGGGAAAAUAGUGCCCCCUCAUUUACCCUUGUUUUAGCCCCGGGAGAACCUUUGGUCCCCUGGACACUGGGAGCAUUUCUUCCUAAGAGUCUCUCUGAGCUAACUUCAUUGAACAUCCAAACUGGGAGGCAGAGGCAUUAGAAAACCUGCUUUUCAACAUCCUUAUCCAAGGAAUGAGAAAUCAGAGACCCACAGAAAGGAAGCAACUCCUCCCAAGUUAGGCAGCAGUUGGCAGUUAGCAUAGAAACCAGGAAUCCUGAUGUCUUGUGGUUAUGUGAAACUGGAACUGAAUUGGACUGAAUUCUAUUUUCUCACUUGUGGACUGCAGGUGUGAAUUUUUAUCCAGCUGUGUUGUGCUGCAUAGGAAGAGGACAUGGAGAGGUUAAAUGAAUCCUGAGUAGCUCAGUUGGUUAGAGUAUGGUGCUAAUAAAUGAAUCAUAAGGCAGCAUCCAGAAAAUUCUCUUGGAUCUGGGCUUUUGAGUCUAAAUAUACACACUAAGCAGCAUCCCCUUGUUUUGCUAAGAAAAAUUACAAACAGAAGGAUAGACUGAACUGUUCUACUUGGUCUGUUUGGACUUUGCUUCUCUCUUCUUCUAUUUCACUCUUGGCUAAAUACAGUGUUGAUGUUCCCGUCUGACCUGAUGGCACGGUGGUCUGAGAUCAGCCCUAGACUGGGACAGCUGCUCAAAUGCAUGCGUGAACUCACAGAGUGAAGGAGUUCUUGGAGGGUGAGGCUAGGUUACUGUUCUGGUUUCUGAGUUUCUUUGUGUUGUCUCUGGGUGAAGGUCAUAGUUCUAGCAUUUAUUAAGUCAUCAGUUAUGUGGAGGUCAUGUGAUUCUAUAAGUGAGAAAAACCAAGAAUCUUGUAUUUAGGGCACGUAGGCCUAUCCACUGGGUUCACGGUAUUUUUUGGCCCAGUGCACCUGCAUAAAGCAUUUUGCCCCAACAGAUAAUUAAGCUUGACAAGACUCUCAAUGGAAAGCCAGGACCAGAACCACAAAAGGCCCAGCAGGCAGGCAGGGGACUGCCUGGCAUUUCAGCCCCAUGUCAGCUGCAGCUCCAUGCCUCACAAUGGUGAAUCAGUGGAAUACGGUGUUACUGCAGGGCAUGGCUAUGUGUGUCAGAAGAGUCAUUCAUUGACAGCAGCGGCCUCAUACAUCUUGUGUUUUCCUUGUCUCCUGGUUGCAUCCAGAAGCCAUGUGGAGUGAUAAACUUACACCUUCUAGGAUUAUGAAAUUGUUUAAACUACAGUCAUUUUCUUGAAAAGGCUUUCCUUUGGGGACAUCCACUGGCUACUGACAGAAGGAUUAAAUGAGAUUGUUGGUGAGAAAGACUCAAGUUCAAUGUUUGAUACAUAGUAUGCUCAAAGCAAAUGGUAGCUGAAUCUGAAUCACUGUCAAUCAACAAACUGAUUUUCUAGUUUACAAAUCAGUGUUUGGUAAACCUGAACAACACACUUGUGAGUCAAUUGGCAAAGUUCUGAAAUUUAAAAAAAAAAAAUGAGAUCUUGGCCCACAAGGAUCAAAUCUUGCAAAGCCUGCCCAAACAUGGUAAUGCAGGAAAUCAUGACAAGGACCUACCUAAUGUGGCUCUGCACAAUGUCCUUCACCUUGAAGAAAGAUCUCUGAAAGAGUCUUUCAUGUUAUUGGGAAAGUAAGUCAUUUUAUUUAUAUCUACUUCUGUCUGAUUAUAAAAAGUGAAAUUGAAACCAUGGGCUCUAAGUGAGGCAACUUGGAGCAAUGGAAGUUGGGUCAGGGAAUGAAUGAAGCAAUAAAAUCCCAAAGAUUCAAAAGAUUUAGGAGGGAAAAUUGCCCAAUCUAUUCCUCAGGCUUCUGCCACUAUUAAUUAAAUAGGCAAAUUACACUAGUAGGUAGUUUAUGCUUGGAUUAUUCCGUGUAUUUAAGUCUUUAAAUAUUUCUGUGUUGUCAUACUUCCACUUUUUAAUAAUUGUGAAAUAUUUAGAAGCUUGACAACUCUUCCACAAAUUUAUAUAUUUGUCUGUCUUGUUUGAAAAUCAUGAGAUAAUUCAGCAAAAGAAAUCAAAGAGAUAUAAAUUGAGAAGGAAGAAGUCAAACUAUCCCUAUUUGCAGAUGAUAUGAUUCUUUAUUGAGGAGAUCCAAAGAACUCCACUAAGAUUAUUGGAACUCAUGGAAGUUUGUAAAGUAGCAAGACAUAAAAUCAGUGCACAAAAAUCAACAGCCUUUGUAUACACAGGCAAUGCCACGGCUGGGAAAGAACUUCUAAGAGCAAUCCCACUCACAAUAGAUACAAUAGCAAUCAAAUACCUUAACCAAAGAUGUCAAAGAUCUCUACAAUGAGAAUUACAAAAUUUUGAAGAAAGAAAUAGAAGAUACAAAAACAUGGAAAAAUCUGCCAUGUUCAUGGAUUGGAAGAAUCAAUAUCAUCAAAAUGUCCAUUCUUCCAGAAGCAAUUUACAGAUUCAAUGUGAUACCAAACAAAAUACCAAAGACAUUAUUCUUAGAUCUGGAAAAAAUGAUGCUGAAAUUCAUAUGGAAGCACAGGAAACCUCAAAUAGCUAAAGCAAUCUUGUACAACAAAAACAGAGCUGGAGGCAUCACAAUACCAGAUUUCAGGACAUACUACAGGGCAGUUAUAAUCAAAACAGCCUGGUACUGGUACAAAAACAGGUGGAUAGACCAAUAGUACAGAAUAGAAACACCAGAAAUCAAUUUAAACAUCUACAGCUCACCUGUUUCUACUUUGUCUCAUCCCGUCUUUCCACCAUGGAAAUGAAAACUCGUAUUCCUUAUCCAAAGCAAUGCUAUAAUAACUCAGUACUAACAUGGUGAUGGAUUGUCAUGAAGAUUUUAGAAUAAUGGAAUUUCUGCCCAUAUCCAGAAACAACUAAUAUUUUAAAGUAUCAGUUAUCCAGUUAUAGAAGUUUCUUGCCUCUCCUCUUAUUAAUCAGCUCUCAGAGAGUUCUACUUUCCCCCUCUCUUCCUUGAAUUCUAGGGCUCUAGUUUCUUAUUUCCACCUUGCCACACCAGAAUGGAAAAAUAUGUAUCUAUGUACCUGUAUAUCUAUCUAUCUAUCUAUCUAUCUAUCUAUCUAUCUAGAGAAUCUAUUUAUCUGUUUCUAUUAUCUGUAUCUAUGUGUUCAUCUUUCUGUGUCUAUUUCUGUAGCAGGGCAUUAAAUAUGGCUUUUCUCAUCAUCAGAGAGUUCUAGGAGAGUAUCCAACAUUGAUAGCAGUAGUAGCUGUCAUAUCGUCUGAGCUGAGAGUGCUAAGAUUAUGGAUGACUACAGGAGAGUGUGGAAGAGCAGAGUAGAAAAUGUUUAAUUCUGACGUCAUGAGUACUGUGAAAUGCUUUCGGAAAGCACUUGUAAAGCUUGGCACCUGCUCACUGAUACUUAGGAACCUCAUCUAUACCUAAACACGCUAAAGGAAAGUGGGAGCAGUUGUGGUAGGAGAUCCAAGACACAAGGUCAUAUUCAAAAUUGCCUGCUCUUCCAGACAUGUACCAAAUGUAAACUGAUGAAGGAGCUGAACUUGGGCCAUCUUGAAAGAUUCUGUUCCAAGGGAUCUUCUGAGAUGGCAUGCACAUUCCCUGAGGAAGUUGUGAGGGGUGGGUCCCUGGAUUUUGAGAUUGAGGGGAGUGUCCACAGUGAUGAGAGAGGAUCAGGGGGCAGAAUCUUCUCUGAAAAGGGGGCAGAAGGUGAGAGAUCAACAUUAGCAGGUGUUUCUGAAGACCUCAGCACACAUACUCUAUGGAGAGGGGAGAGAGAAGUGGAAGAGAGGGCUCUCUCAAUGGCCACCAACGUCAGGGGCAACCAAAUCAGUCCACACUUGACUGCCUCAUCUCUCUUCUCUACCAUCCUCUUAAGUUCUGGCAAAACCAGAUGCAGCUUAGGGAGAAGAAUAGGGAGAUAGCAAGAGUGAAGUUCAAAGGCUGAUCAUCCCUACUGCAGAUCUCCAAAACAAAGCCAGACCUUGGGUGGCAGAGAAUAAGGUUUAACUUAUACAAGAGAAUAAGGCUUUGCUAUCAAAGUGUCUGGACUGAAUUGGGCAUGCAGUACCAAAAGAGACUGUUCAUGUGAGGGUGCUGGGUAAAGCUAAUUCAUGCCUUUGGGAUCUCAUCCAGAAGCAAGAAUAUGAUUGACAACGUUGCUGGAGGGCAUUGGCACAGAAUAACAAAACAAAGCUAAUUUAUAUUUUCAUCCCUUUUGAGUACAUUCAAUAAAGCAGUUCCUGUCUCUUUAUUCUCUCCAUAAAAUGUGCAUGUGUGUGCGCGCGCACACACACACACACACACGCGGGGUCCUGUUAGAUUUGUUGUAAAUAAAUUUCCUUCCUCUCAACUUCUGCCUCCUACUCAGCAUGGAGCUCUCCCUUUCCUUACCCCAUCCAUCCCAUGGACUUGUUUGUUGACUUUGGUUUUGAAAGCGCACAUCCCUCUCCUCUUUAGAAUGUUCCUUGAACUCUGAUGCUCCCUGUAUGCAUGCCACAGUUGACUUCCCCACUAACAAUAUUCAUAAUUCUUUUGUUUCUGUCUGCCACAUGUUUAUCAUACUGUGUAUGUCGACAUGGACACUGGGUUUCCUAAAAUCAUUUCUUCAAGGCCCUCAUUCUAAAUCUUUAUAAAACUUAGAUGGAUUUUCUGAUUCCCGAAGCAGGCUUCAGAAUAUGUCUACUAACCUAGGACACCUUAAAUAAUGAUGAAUUUGUUCUUACCAAAGCCAAAUACAUGUGUUUACAAGUUGGGUCAAAUUCCUUUCUCUUACAACACAUCCCAAACCUCAGUGGCUGGAAGAAACCCUUUAACAUGAAGUCCAACAGAAAUGUGACAUUGUUACUCUUUUUGCCUAAGUCCUUGGAACUCUUGAUAGGAAGCUGCUGUCACUACUUUCAAACAUUAGUGGUCAAUGACUGUCUUUAGUUCAGAUAACUCUGGGCCUGCUAAGAACAGGCUCACCAUGUUUUAUUAAUUUAUCCUGUAUUUCCUAAGAUGGUUAGUUUCCUUCCUGCCCCAUUUCUUCCAGAUAGUCCUCGAUGGUUGUCUCAGGUAACACAGCCUCUGAAUCCCACCCUUCUUUUUAGUGUAUUCUUGUAUGUUAGC